rnacentral:rRNA from 1 species
GAUGAACGCUGGCGGCGUGCCUAAUACAUGCAAGUCGAGCGAACAGAUGAGGAGCUUGCUCCUCUGACGUUAGCGGCGGACGGGUGAGUAACACGUGGAUAACCUACCUAUAAGACUGGGAUAACUUCGGGAAACCGGAGCUAAUACCGGAUAAUAUAUUGAACCGCAUGGUUCAAUAGUGAAAGACGGUUUUGCUGUCACUUAUAGAUGGAUCCGCGCCACAUUAGCUAGUUGGUAAGGUAACGGCUUACCAAGGCGACGAUGCGUAGCCGACCUGAGAGGGUGAUAGGCCACACUGGAACUGAGACACGGUCCAGACUCCUACGGGAGGCAGCAGUAGGGAAUCUUCCGCAAUGGGCGAAAGCCUGACGGAGCAACGCCGCGUGAGUGAUGAAGGUCUUCGGAUCGUAAAACUCUGUUAUUAGGGAAGAACAAAUGUGUAAGUAACUAUGCACGUCUUGACGGUACCUAAUCAGAAAGCCACGGCUAACUACGUG